AAUGAGAAUGAAAGUGACAAAGAUUAAUAAAAGGAAAAAAGAGAACAAAAAUGGGAUUUUGCGCUCUUUGAAGAGGUUUUUCAUGGAUGAUGAUAUGGCCAUUGCUAAUGGAGAUUUUUUUUGUUUUUAAUGGAGAUUUUUGCAGUGAGAUCUGGGAGAGUUGCAGAGAAAAA